rnacentral:misc_RNA from 1 species
UUUUAAAAAAGAAAAUGCCGUGGAGAUGGAUGUGGCGUACUUAAAAUUAUAAGCAUAGACAAUGCUAAUAUUUCUCAUUUCUUCUCUAGUAACUUCAAAAACUAAUUUCCAUAUAUCACAAUUCACAGACAAAAUGAUACAAGAACAAUUCCUACAUCUUUACACAAACAAUGGCAUCUAGGUACUUGAUCUGCAAAAGAAAUGUCAGGCAAGACAAUCAGAAUUGGAAUGUGCAGCAUUGCUGAAAAUCAUUCCUUAAGAGAAUGCCAAGAGAUUAUUGACAAACUUCUAUGGCAGUAGAGCUUUUAACUGCACCCUGAAAAG